UACGUAGGGACCGAGCGUUGUCCGGAUUCAUUGGGCGUAAAGAGCUCGUAGGCGGCUGUUCAAGUCGAACGUGAAAACUCGGGGCUCAACUCCGAGCCUACGUUCGAUACUGGAUGGCUAGAGUCUGGUAGGGGGAUCUGGAAUUCCUGGUGUGGCGGUGGAAUGCGCAGAUAUCAGGAGGAACACCGGUGGCGAAGGCGGGAUCCUGGGACGGUACUGACGCUGAGACGCGAAAGCGUGGGGAGCGAACAGG
rnacentral:rRNA from 1 species